GGGGGCGUUCUGGAUUCGACGGGGAUGGUUCGAGCAUGAGUAGCGAGCCGGUGGGUUGCGAUUCCGUAACAACGCAAGCGUAAAUAUAAACGCUAAAGAAGAAAACUACGCUUUAGCUGCCUAAUCGCAGCUAACCCUUACCUCUCCAUCGCCCAUGUGGAGGGACUAAGGGCCAACUUUAGUGGGCUACGCCUAAGGCUUCCGUCUGUAGCCGAAGGAAGAGAUGAAUCAGACUAGCCUGUCAGGUAGUGGGUUACCUGGCAGCUUGGCAGGCGAAUCAACCACAGGUAACUGCGCUCGGAGAAGCUUAUGUGAUCGGAGUCUUCGGACGUGGGUUCGAUUCCCACCGCCUCCACCA
rnacentral:tmRNA from 1 species